UUUCCUUGGCAAACGACAUAUAUAUUAUUCAUCUAUUGAGGGUUCUCUGAAGGAAAUCCAACACAGACACAGUUGCAUUUUCCAAACAGAAAUAUUUAAAGCUGCUUUUUCCUCACAAGAAUCCAGAGAGAAGACUCUAUCUAUGAUCUAUGCAAGUUUUCUCCAUUGACAGAGAAAAGAAGUGCAAAGCCACCAACAACUCCAGGGACAACCAUCUUUGGAAAUGUGGGCUUUGAUCACAUGAAGUACAGAACCAAGAUAAGCAACAAUAAAUCUGUGGGGUCACGUCUGCGCAAAACUGUACAGAAGAAGGAGGACUUUCUUUUUUAUCUGCCAACUCUCUUGAGCUUCUCUUAUUUGUUUUGGCAAACAAUCAAAUAAAUCUGAAGGAAUUAUUCUCACAGAAGCAUAAGAC